GGACGAACGCUGGCGGCGUGCCUAAUACAUGCAAGUCGAACGGUCUUUCUAUGGAAGCUUGCUUCCACUGAGAAGAUAGUGGCGAACGGGUGAGUAACACGUGGGUAACCUGCCCAUAAGAGGGGGAUAACAUCCGGAAACGGGUGCUAAUACCGCAUAGUUUUCUUGAUCGCAUGAUCGGGAAAGGAAAGACGGCCUUUGUGCUGUCGCUUAUGGAUGGACCCGCGGCGUAUUAGUUAGUUGGUGAGGUAACGGCUCACCAAGACGAUGAUACGUAGCCGACCUGAGAGGGUGAUCGGCCACAUUGGGACUGAGACACGGCCCAAACUCCUACGGGAGGCAGCAGUAGGGAAUCUUCCGCAAUGGACGAAAGUCUGACGGAGCAACGCCGCGUGAGUGAAGAAAGGUUUUCGGAUCGUAAAACUCUGUUGUCAGAGAAGAACAAGUUGGAGAGUAACUGCUCCAGCCUUGACGGUAUCUGACCAGAAAGCCACGGCUAAUUACGUGCCAGCCGCUGC
rnacentral:rRNA from 1 species